UUUUAAUUUGAAAUAAAAAAUGCUUAUAUUCAAAAAUAAUUAUUUUAUCAAAGAAGAGCCACAUUUCAUUAUUUAAUAUAAUCAUUUUAUUCAACUCUGUUCAUUUUAAUCUAUAUAUAAUAUAAUUGUUAUUGAUCCUAUAAUAUACAAUUCAGAAAUAUAUACAUGUCUGCAUAUAGAUCAGGGAUGCACAAACUGCAGGCUCCAUGUGGCUCUCCAUUGAUUUGUUGGCAGCCCACCUCACUGCAUGUUGUUUUAAUAAGUCACAUAAUCAACAAAAUAUUAUUUGUAUUUUUGAACAAUGCACUUUCAAAUAAUAUUUUUCUGAUGCAAGAUUAUUUUUACAGUGAUUCAAUGAUAAUGUUUUU
rnacentral:lncRNA from 1 species